AGAUGCUUUGAGUUUGUUUAAUCUAUGUAUAUAUAAUAUAAAAAUUUUUGUUCAAAAUCAACUUAAAACAACUCAAUCUUAGUAUAAACCUAGCACAAAAGGAUAAUGUGUAACAUUAUAUAGCAAAAUGUUUAUUAUAAGUGUUUAUUUAAAUGAAUUCGUUGCAAACGCGACUUCCAGAGACCGAUCGAUUUCAUUCAUCGAUUUUUCACGCUAGCAACCAGCCACGAAGAAAACGCCACGGCAACGAGGUGAAACACAUACGAACGAAUGACGUAUAUUCGCGGAAAGGUAAAGAGAAAAACAUCCAGCGCGAUAUGACAAUUCUUAGCAAAAAGGGAAAGAACGGCGAUGGUAUAUUCAAACAGAGGAAAUAGUCAUACUGCUCACUCGUGCAGUGAAAAUAUUAGUAUCCACUGCAAAAUAUAAAACUUAAUGUUCUGAUGAUUCGAUUCGGUCAGCUAGACAUUCCCUUUAAUAUUAUAGUGAAUGAAUAAAAUCUAUUUAAUUAAA